rnacentral:rRNA from 1 species
GGGGAAUAUUGCGCAAUGGGGGAAACCCUGACGCAGCAACGCCGCGUGCGGUAUGAAGGCCUUCGGGUUGUAAACCGCUUUCAGCAGGGACGAAGGGUUUCUGACGGUACCUGCAGAAGAAGCACCGGCUAACUACGUGCCAGCAGCCGCGGUGAUACGUAGGGUGCGAGCGUUGUCCGGAAUUAUUGGGCGUAAAGAGCUUGUAGGCGGUCCGUCACGUCGGAAGGGAAAACUCAGGGCUUAACCCUGAGCCUGCUUUCGAUACGGGCAGAAUUGAGGGAUGGAAGGGAGAACGGAAUUCCGGGUGGAGGGGGGGAAUGGGCAGAUAUCAGGAGGAACACCAGUGGCGAAAGCGGUUCUCUGGACAUUUCCUGACGCUGAGAAGCGAAAGGGUGGGCAGCAAACA